rnacentral:rRNA from 1 species
UACGUAGGGUGCAAGCGUUGUCCGGAAUUAUUGGGCGUAAAGAGCUCGUAGGCGGUCUGUCACGUCGGCUGUGAAAACCUGGGGCUCAACCCCGGGCCUGCAGCCGAUACGGGCAGACUAGAAUUCGGUAGGGGAGACUGGAAUUCCUGGUGUAGCGGUGAAAUGCGCAGAUAUCAGGAGGAACACCGGUGGCGAAGGCGGGUCUCUGGGCCGAUACUGACGCUGAGGAGCGAAAGCGUGGGGAGCGAACAGG